GCAAACUUGGUCAUUUAGAGGAAGUAAAAGUCGUAACAAGGUUUCCGUAGGUGAACCUGCGGAAGGAUCAUUAUCAGGGUUUCCCAUAAACCCAAUCUAUCCACCGUGUGCACCAAAAAACGAAAUCAAAAUUCCAAAUCUCUCCUUUCUCUUUUGCCGUCUGUCCUCUCCGGAUGGAUGGCAAUAUAGAGGAAAGAGAGAGUUGGAGUUUUCUUUUCAUUUUUUUUUUACAACUUUUGCCUGAAUGUUUGUCUGACAAUAUGUUUUUUAAAUGAUUCAAUACAACUUUCAACAACGGAUCUCUUGGCUCUCGCAUCGAUGAAGAACGCAGC
rnacentral:misc_RNA from 1 species